CCUACGGGUGGCAGCAGUAAGGAAUAUUGGUCAAUGGACGAAAGUCUGAACCAGCCAUCCCGCGUGCAGGAUGAAAGCCCUAUGGGUUGUAAACUGCUUUUAGCAGAGAAGAAAAGCUUUCAUUAAUGAGAGUCUGACGGUAUCUGCAGAAUACGCACCGGCUAACUCCGUGCCAGCAGCCGCGGUAAUCCGGAGGGUGCGAGCGUUAUCCGGAAUUACUGGUGCGAAAGGGGACGUAGGAGGAGGAUUAGAAAUCUUGUCGCUUAACGAUAAAAUUGCCAAUGAGACUGGUACUCUUGAAUUGGGUUGAGGUUAGCGGAAUGUGACAGGUAGCGGUGAAAUGCAUAGAUAUGUCAUGGAACACCAAUUGCGAAGGCAGCUAACUGGGCCUUGAUUGACGCUGAGGCACGAAAGCGUGGGUAGCGAACAGGAUUAGAUACCCCUGUAGUC
rnacentral:rRNA from 1 species